UGCUUAUGUCAUGUUCUGUGGCCUUGCCGUUCCAUUUCUUGACUGCCCCUGCAACACAGAAAUAAACACAUUCAGUCAUGUUAUAUAAAAACACUCAAAGUAAUGGAUAUGGAGCAUCUAUGGCCUCAGUUACACCUGGCACCUAAAUGUGACGUCUGUCAUCCGAUCACUCUAAGCUGCAUUAGGUUCAGAUCUACCAGGAUGGGCCUAUGACAGUCUGGAUGCAGUCAGGCCACUGAAUAUAAAUAUUCAAUAUAAAGAGAUGGGGUGAAUGAGUGGGGAAAAGUACAUUUGACACAAAUUACCUUCAUAAUAUCAAAGAACAAAUGUGUGUCUGAGGGAAAAUUAACUUUCAUACAGCCAAAAGGGGGUGAGAAAUUACACCAAUAUCAGUGGACAACUUGCACUAAUGUAAAUAAACAUUGAUUAUGGAACAUAUUCCCUUUUGCUUACGUGAUGAACUGCUAAGGGAACAUAAAUAUUUACUAUCUAAACCACGUGUGACCUCUCACAUUUCUGGCUGUAGAAGUGUUCUUCCGAACCAGUCCCUCAACAGCUCUCUGACUGAGCUCCACCCUCACUGGGUCUUCAGAGGAGAGGAAGGCUGAGGAGGGAUGGAAGGAUGAAUGGAUCAGUCAGUCAAUAAAGUGUAGAGCUGCUGUCUGACAAAAUCACUAUUUUAGUAGUUCAUUAAAGUAAAUAAGGCUUUAUGAUUGCUGAAUACCAACUAUCAAUCACUUAGAUCAUGUAUUGUCAGGUAGAGAUACAUCCUUGGGACGUCCCUAGCCCAUUGAAGUUCACAUUUUAAAUGGUUAAGGUUAGGGUAGGGUUAGUGUUAGGGUAGGGAUGUCCCAAGGAUCCCGGAUAGCGUUGACCAUCAUGCAUUGUUCUGUCUCUUUUACAUAGCAGGUUUAAAAUAAACAGACAAGACAAGUAGACAUGCAGGUCAUUUUGGUCAUUGUAGUUUAAAAAUAGCAUCUAAUUAUGCAAAUCUGUAUGUGGGGUUGUUAGAGAAGAAUGUGAUUAUCAGCCCUAACAAUCCAUUCUAGCACCUCAUCAGGUUCUGAAAAAGACUUCAUUGAUGACGUGUUCCUUCUAUUCCAGGGGACAGCAGAGGAACUUCAUCGAUUCCACUCCUUCAUCAAUACAAGCAGUGAACAUCUGAAAUUCACCCUCACCUUUGAUGCGCAUGAAACAAGUUAUCUGGACAUUUUGAUUAAGAGGGAGGGGUGUGGCUUUAGCACAGACCUAUACAGGAAGCCGACGGACAGGAAUUCCCUGUUACGCUGAGACAGCUUCCACCCUACACCCCUAAAAAAAACAAUUGUCAUACUUGACUAAAGAAAACAUUUAAAAUGUAAAUUUGUAAUUUGAAUUUUGUAAAUUUCAAACAAAAACAUAAUUGUUUGUACUUAUAGGUAACCAGAUUGUGGCUACAACUCAGUUACUAAGUCUUUAACUACACUGUGUUGUUACACUGGUGAGUAAAAACUCAUGCUUCCUACACUUUAACUUUUUGUCUGAAAAAAAUUAAUACAUUUUACUCAACUGCGUCCAGUCAGCAGAUGGACUAGAUGCCGCUUAGGCCGCCCGUUGUGACUCAAGAAUUCAGCAGAGCAAGUUUGUAUGAAGGUCUGGUUAUUAAAUGGGUACAUAGUUCAAUAGUAAUAUCCUCUAAAACCCUCUGGUGACAAACUUUGCUGUCCUGUUUCCAAUUGUCCACAUGGCUGGGAGAACCUAUUCAAGUAAGUAACUAAAUAGAUUUUGAAAAUGUAAAAAAAAAUACGAUGUAUUAUUAGCUAACUAGCUACAGUGCAGGCUAACUCAAAUUAGCUGCUAAAUGAGCUAGCUAGAUGGCUAGCUAGCUAUCUAAUGUUAGGAUUUAUGUUUAUGCACUAUAGCCUGCUAGCAUAUUGUUUUGUUACACACACACACACAAACAAUACAGAUGUGUGACCAACACAGGCCAUAAAAGCUGUGGUCAAUCUGGAGAGGGGAGGGGUGCAUCUCUCUAGGCCAACCAGGGAGGUCAGGGCACUGAUCAGUACCAUAUUAGGAAUUGUUUGAGUGAAGAAUCAAGGGGGAGACACAAGACGGAGCUAAUCUACCCAGCAACCAGAUGUGGACAAAGGAAAGCACUAAGGGACUUGGACAAGUCCGGGUGCCAGCAUAGGCGGGGCAAAGUCUAAACCGCGCUCAGCCUCUACUGUGAUAGGCCAACAGACGCGUUGGAACUACGUCAUCAAGGUAUAAGAACAGCUGUUUACGUACUUCCUGCCAGUUCCCUGCUUUACCCUGCGUGGUGAUACAGUGAACCCGUAUAUACGAAAAUUGCAUUUGCCAUUCAUUGCUUGCGGUAAUUAAACAUAAUGAAAGGAAGUUAGCAGACCUUGCUUUUUAUUUAUCCUGAUACCGGAUGUGUUACACGCAGCGUUCACACUAACCAACUUCAAAUACUGUAUAGAUAGAUAUAUAUAUAUGCGAAUGAAAUAUCACCAUCUACCUAACUUCAUAUUAGCUAGCUAUCUUGAUGUGUUUAUCACUGUAAAAAACAAACUCCAAAUGCAUUUGUAGGUAGCUAGCUAACAGCCAUGGAGGGUGAAAGGAUAGCAGCCCCAACUGUCAGUGAGAGAGGAGGCUAUUCUGGAUAGGGCAGGUACUUUUGUGUUGUUCCUGUCCCUAGAAGUGAGGACGGAGAUAAUAGUAACAUAAUAUUCAGUGUGGUGUAAUUGGACUAAAAUGAAGUGUGUGUCUUGUGAGGUUUUCUGUCCUCAGAUAAAGAGUGCUAUGAAAGCCAGUCUACAUAUGAAGAGGUCCCAAUGAAGAGCAGUGGUUCUCAGUCCCUGGGACUCAGAGGUGCACAUUGUUGUUUUUGCCUCAGCACUGCACAGCUGAUUCAAGUGAUCAACUCAUCAUCAAGCUUCAAGUGGUAUUUAUGUAUUCAUUUGUGAUGCCAUCCUUGAUAUGCCCCCCUCGUGGGGCAUCAAUGAUCAUGAGGAAGGUGAGGGAUCAGCCCAGAAAUACACGGCAGGACCUGGUCAAUGACCUGAAGAGAGCUGGGACCACAGUCUCAAAGAAAACCAUUAGUAACACACUACGCCGUCAUGGAUUAAAAUCCUGCAGCGUACGCAAGGUCCCCCUGCUCAAGCCAGCGCAUGUCCAGGCCCGUCUGAAGUUUGCCAAUGACCAUCUGGAUGAUCCAGAGGAGGAAUGGGAGAAGGUCAUGUGGUCUGAUGAGACAAAAAUAGAGCUUUUUGGUCUAAACUCCACUCGCCGUGUUUGGAGGAAGAAGAAGGAUGAGUACAACCCCAAGAACACCAUCCCAACCGUGAAGCAUGGAGGUGGAAACAUCAUUCUUUGGGGAUGCUUUUCUGCAAAGGGGACAGGACAACUGCACCGUAUUGAGGGGAGGAUGGAUGGGGCCAUGUAUCGUGAGAUCUUGGCCAACAACCUCCUUCCCUCAGUAGGAGCAUUGAAGAUGGGUCGUGGCUGGGUCUUCCAGCAUGACAACGACCCGAAAUACACAGCCAGGGCAACUAAGGAUUGGCUCCGUAAGAAGCAUCUCAAGGUCCUGGAGUGGCCUAGCCAGUCUCAUCUUUGGAGAGAGCUGAAAGUCCAUAUUGCCCAGCGACAGCCCCGAAACCUGAAGGAUCUGGAGAAGGAUUGUAUGGAGGAGUGGGCCAAAAUCCCUGCUGCAGUGUGUGCAAACCUAGUCAAGAACUACAGGAAACGUAUGAUCUCUGUAAUUGCAAACAAAGGUUUCUGUACCAAAUAUUAAGUUCUGCUUUUCUGAUGUAUCAAAUACUUAUGUCAUGCAAUAAAAUGCAAAUGAAUUACUUAAAAAUCAUACAAUGUGAUUUUCUGGAUUUUUGUUUUAGAUUCCAUAUCUCACAGUUGAAGUGUACCUAUGAUAAAAAUGACAGACCUCUACAUGCUUUAUACCUUGUAACUGGAGAUUCCUUCAAAACGAUUGCCUACAGUUAACGUGUAGGGCACUGCAAGGUUGGGUGACCAGGGUCAUUUGGGACUGCCUCCUGGAGGAAUUCAGGUGUGUGAAGGCUACCUGUGUCCUGCGUAACUUCAUGAGGAUGGACACAAGGACCAGGAGGGGAUCUGCAGCUCACCCCCGUGUGCCAGAGGAGGAGUCUGCUGCUCUGCAGGAUGUUUCAAGGAUGGGGUCCAACAACGCAGCAAGAGAGGCAAUCCGUGUUCGGGAGAUCUUCACCUCCUACUUCUUCAAAGAGGGUGAUGUUCCCUGGCAACACCAUAGACUACACUAUGCACAACCAAAGGCUCUUUUAAGAGCCAUUCACAUUGCAAUAAGUAUUCUUCCAUUUACUUAGCUAUGUCAACUGCAGUUAUUCAAUUCACAGUUUCUUUCCCUUUGAUUUCUACUUCUCAGGUGAGGGUGCUGUUUAGGUAAGGGUGUGAUGUCUGUACAAAAACAAAGCAGGCUAUUUUAAAUCACCCAUAUUGAAAAAAUGUGGAACAAUUAGACACCCUAUAACCCACACCUACACACUCAUGUAUCAAUCUGCUUGAUGGAUUGUGUUGUGCAGUAAACAGGCUCAGGUGUAUAACUGUGGCUCCUUCCACUUUCAAAGAAUAGGCAACCAUUGAGAAUAGUAAGACACUUCAUUAUUUCUAUAACUACGCUAUAUUGUUUGUCCUCUUGUGUCCGUUCAUGUUUUUCAGCAUGAAGUACUCUGCAGCCACUUAGUGUGGUGUGGACACCAGGUUAUAUCAGCUGUGUCUGAACCCCUCCUGCAUCUGAACUGGCUACAUAGAGGGUACAGCAUGAUCAGAGGUGAGAGGUCACUUGGUCAGGUCAAAUGGGAGUAUUAUUAAAGAGAUGCUUUACAUUGAAAUACAGAUAGAGAUGCAGUAGUCCCAGAGUUAAUGAUCCAAGAUCAGUUUAUAUUAUACAGGAAGUAUUAUUAAAGAGAUGCUUUACAUUGAAAUACAGAUAGAUGCAGUAGUCCCAGAGUUAAUGAUCCAAGGUCAGUUUAUAUUAUACAGGAAGUAUUUUUAAAAAGAUGCUUUACAUUGAAAUACAGACAGAGAUGCAGUAGUCCCAGAGUUAAUGAUUUAAGGUCAGUUUAUAUUAUACAGGAAGUAUUAAUAAAGAGAUGCUUUACAUUGAAAUACAGAGAGAUGCAGUACUCCCAGAUUUAUUGAUCCCAGGUCAGUUUAUAUUAUACAGGAAGUAUUAUUAAAGAGAUGUUUUACAUUGAAAUACAGAUAGAUGCAGUAGUGCCAGAGUUAAUGAUCCAAGGUCAGUUUAUAUUAUACAGGAAGUAUUAAUAAAGAGAUGCUUUACAUUGAAAUACAGAUAGAUGCAGUAGUCCCAGAGUUAAUGAUCCAAGGUCAGUUUUGCAUUUCACCUCUUGAUUGAUGACUAACAAUGUUAGAA